CACCCGUCAAGCCUCGCUUGGUGUUGGGGGACGUCGCGCCACGCGCGACCCCCCCGGAACCCGUUGGCGGUGGCCCUUCGCCCCGAUCGUCGCGCUCGUUACGACGGCGCGGGGGGACCGCCCGCCCAACUGGCCGGCAACGGCCACACAACACGCAAC
rnacentral:misc_RNA from 1 species